GGUAGCACAUUGUACUACCCAGCUUAAUUUUUUAAUAACCAGAAACUGAUGCAGAGUAAAUGAAUACUAAAUUUCUUUUCUUCUUGACAACGAACCGAAUGGAGUCCACUACCUAUGUUAAACUACAAAGGCCGUAAGUUGUGUAUCGCAAGCAAACCAUUUUCUUUCUACAGAUAAAUACAUUAAUAUAUAAUUCUUUUGAAAGUUAUGAUACACAACCUGCGGCCUUUUUGGUCAGUUAGUGUUUCAGGUCAACGUUGGAUCAGAUACAUUUUAUUAUUACUAGUAUCCAUCUUAUUUGAUCCUUCUGAAGGAGUUUGAUAAGAAAUGUCUUGUACAUUUGUGGAAAUACAAGGAAGCUUUGUAUCCGAGACCAAUGGUCACGUCAAUAAGAAAGGAGAUAUUACGAACGUAUGUUUGACUCUUGUUUGCAUUGUGGGUUACCAUUAUUUCUUGGAAACAUGAAAUUUUUGAUGAUAUAGAUAAAAUACAAGGAUAUAGAUUUAUUAAACCCAAUUUGAUUUUUGAAACAACAAGAAUCGUGUGUGAUUUGUGAAUAGAAGGGACUAAUUUAUGUUAUUCUGAUGGCUAUGUUAAAAUUAAGCUCUUUCAAUGAAGUUGCUAGUUUAAUGCUGAUUUCACAUUUUACAAAUACUUAAAACUGCAUUAAAUUGUUUGCAUUUAAUAGCUUUUUAAAACAGAUUUAAUUAAAAGUAUUUAUGGAUGACAAAAAUCAUCAUUUUGUAUUCAAUUUCGUUUUGUGUUUUAUUACCCAUUAUUAGACAUGCCUUUAGAUGGCAUGUAUGAUGUUUAUUGUGGGGAAAAGUUCAUGAACGUGCACCUUGUAAAAAAGAGGAAAUAAAUUUUAGAAAGU
rnacentral:misc_RNA from 1 species